UACGAAGGGAGCAAGCGUUAUUCGGAAUCACUGGGCGUAAAGGGCGUGUAGGCGGUCGAUUAAGUCAGUUGUAAAAUUCCUCAGCCUAACUGAGGCAUCGCAAUUGAAACUGAUUGGCUAGAGUACAGAAGAGAGAAGUGGAAUUAUCGGAGUAGCGGUAAAAUGCGUAGAUCUCGAUAGGAACACCGAUGGCGAAGGCAGCUUCUUGGUCUGUAACUGACGCUGAGACGCGAAAGCGUGGGGAGCAAACAGG
rnacentral:rRNA from 1 species